rnacentral:rRNA from 1 species
AUCCGGAAUUAUUGGGCGUAAAGAGCUCGUAGGCGGUUUGUCGCGUCUGCCGUGAAAGUCCGGGGCUCAACUCCGGAUCUGCGGUGGGUACGGGCAGACUAGAGUGAUGUAGGGGAGACUGGAAUUCCUGGUGUAGCGGUGAAAUGCGCAGAUAUCAGGAGGAACACCGAUGGCGAAGGCAGGUCUCUGGGCAUUAACUGACGCUGAGGAGCGAAAGCAUGGGGAGCGAACAGGAUUAGAUACCCUGGUAGUCCAUGCCGUAAACGUUGGGCACUAGGUGUGGGGGACAUUCCACGUUUUCCGCGCCGUAGCUAACGCAUUAAGUGCCCCGCCUGGGGAGUACGGCCGCAAGGCUAAAACUCAAAGGAAUUGACGGGGGCCCGCACAAGCGGCGGAGCAUGCGGAUUAAUUCGAUGCAACGCGAAGAACCUUACCAAGGCUUGACAUGGGCCGGACCGGGCUGGAAACAGUCCUUCCCCUUUGGGGCCGGUUCACAGGUGGUGCAUGGUUGUCGUCAGCUCGUGUCGUGAGAUGUUGGGUUAAGUCCCGCAACGAGCGCAACCCUCGUUCCAUGUUGCCAGCGCGUAAUGGCGGGGACUCAUGGGAGACUGCCGGGGUCAACUCGGAGGAAGGUGGGGACGACGUCAAAUCAUCAUGCCCCUUAUGUCUUGGGCUUCACGCAUGCUACAAUGGCCGGUACAAAGGGUUGCGAUACUGUGAGGUGGAGCUAAUCCCAAAAAGCCGGUCUCAGUUCGGAUUGGGGUCUGCAACUCGACCCCAUGAAGUCGGAGUCGCUAGUAAUCGCAGAUCAGCAACGCUGCGGUGAAUACGUUCCCGGGCCUUGUACACACCGCCCGUCAAGUCACGAAAGUUGGUAACACCCGAAGCCGGUGGCCUAACCCCUUGUGGGAGGGAGCUGUCGAAGGUGGGACUGGCGAUUGGGACUAAG